rnacentral:rRNA from 1 species
AGAACGAACGCUGGCGGCAUGCCUAACACAUGCAAGUCGAACGUGAUCCAGGCUUCGGCCUGGUGAAAGUGGCAGACGGGUGAGUAACGCGUGGGAACCUGCCCUGUGGUAGGGAAUAACCGCGGGAAACUGCGGCUAAUACCCUAUGAGUCCUUCUGGAGAAAGAUUUAUCGCCAUAGGAGGGGCCCGCGUCGGAUUAGGUAGUUGGUGGGGUAACGGCCUACCAAGCCUUCGAUCCGUAGCUGGUCUGAGAGGAUGAUCAGCCACACUGGGACUGAGACACGGCCCAGACUCCUACGGGAGGCAGCAGUGGGGAAUAUUGGACAAUGGGCGCAAGCCUGAUCCAGCCAUGCCGCGUGGAUGAUGAAGGCCUUAGGGUUGUAAAGUCCUUUUAACGGGGAAGAUAAUGACGGUACCGUAGAAUAAGCCCCGGCUAACUUCGUGCCAGCAGCCGC